rnacentral:tRNA from 1 species
GGAGCUAUCGUCUAACGGUUAGGACAGCGCCCUUUCAAGGCGCCAGUACGGGUUCGAGUCCCGUUAGCUCUACCA